rnacentral:rRNA from 1 species
GACGAACGCUGGCGGCGUGCUUAACACAUGCAAGUCGAACGGAAAGGCCCUGCUUUUGUGGGGUGCUCGAGUGGCGAACGGGUGAGUAACACGUGAGUAACCUGCCCUUGACUUUGGGAUAACUUCAGGAAACUGGGGCUAAUACCGGAUAGGAGCUCCUGCUGCAUGGUGGGGGUUGGAAAGUUUCGGCGGUUGGGGAUGGACUCGCGGCUUAUCAGCUUGUUGGUGGGGUAGUGGCUUACCAAGGCUUUGACGGGUAGCCGGCCUGAGGGGGUGACCGGCCACAUGGGGACUGAGAUACGGCCCAAACCCCUACGGGAGGCAGCAGGGGGGAAAAUUGCACAAUGGGCGAAAGCCGGAUGCAGCAACGCCGCGGGCGGGAGAACGGCCUUCGGGUGGUAAACCGCUUUCGCCUGUGACGAAGCGUGAGUGACGGUAAUGGGUAAAGAAGCACCGGCUAACUACGU